rnacentral:rRNA from 1 species
AACGAACGCUGGCGGCGCGCUUAACACAUGCAAGUCGAACGAGAAGGCGUAGCAAUACGCUUGUACAGUGGCGAACGGGUGAGUAAUACGUGGGCGACCUACCCUCGAGUGGGGAAUAACCCGCCGAAAGGCGGGCUAAUGCCGCGUACGCUUCCAUCUUUAUGGAGGUGGAAGGAAAGCCGUGCCGUGGGCACGGCGCUCAAGGAUGGGCUCACGUCCUAUCAGCUUGUUGGAGGGUAACGGCCUACCAAGGCUCCGACGGGUAGCUGGUCUGAGAGGACGAUCAGCCACACUGGCACUGCGACACGGGCCAGACUCCUACGGGAGGCAGCAGUGAGGAAUAUUGCGCAAUGGGCGAAAGCCUGACGCAGCGACGCCGCGUGGGGGAUGAAGGUCUUCGGAUUGUAAACCCCUUUCGGGAGGGAAGAUGGGACGGCGAACCGUUCGGACGGUACCUCCAGAAGCAGCCACGGCUAACUUCGUGCCAGCCGCCGCAGUAAC